UUAAGAUGGAAACUAAAUUAAUGAAGUUUAUAUUUAAUAAUGUUUCCAAUAACUAGUCGCCGACUAGAUAGAGAGGCAAUACAUGUU
rnacentral:sRNA from 1 species